CAACAACUGUGGCAUCCAUAACCAGCGUCGUCGUAGCUACUGACCCCACACUCACAGCCGCAGUGGGUGCCCAGGACUCCUCAGUCUCCUCUAACCCACCCACAAUGGCCACAACCGAGACCAAUCAGAUUACAGGAACAACCUCCAUGACUACCAUACAGGCAACCGCAUCCAGUUAUUCUCCAACAAACUCCACCACCGCACCGUCAAACAGGACCCUGCUGACCAGUAACAGCACAGCUGCUCAGUGGUCAGCUUCUGAUAUGAGCCAAAUUGCACUGCAGUGCAACUUCUCUCAGUUCUGUUCAAACACAAGUAAGUACUAGUUUCAUGGCAUGCUAUGGUCUGUCCACUACAAUUUUGCUGGUAAUGAAACAAGUGCAUGACAGGCAACAUGAAUAUUCUGUGUUUUGUAUUCUAAUAGCUUCCCAUUACUGGAUGUUGGUCAGUGUAAAUGUGAGCGGAGAAACGAAGACUGAAGCAGAUAUUAAAGUCUGGCUUGAUAACUCCAUCACCCAUGAUGAGGUAAGCCAAAUCAUACAAUCGUCAAGACAGCAUGCUGUAAAAAACCUUACCAAAGCUACAUUUAGAACUAAAGCUAAACAAUCCAUUCUUAUUGUUACAGUCCAC
rnacentral:lncRNA from 1 species